UACGUAGGGCGCAAGCGUUGUCCGGAAUUAUUGGGCGUAAAGAGCUCGUAGGCGGUUUGUCACGUCGGAUGUGAAAGCCCGGGGCUUAGCCCCGGGUCUGCAUUCGAUACGGGCAGACUAGAGUGUGGUAGGGGAGAUCGGAAUUCCUGGUGUAGCGGUGAAAUGCGCAGAUAUCAGGAGGAACACCGGUGGCGAAGGCGGAUCUCUGGGCCAUUACUGACGCUGAGGAGCGAAAGCGUGGGGAGCGAACAGG
rnacentral:rRNA from 1 species